UUUUAUGUUGUACUCGAGAGGUUCACAGUAACGUGAACGCACAACAAACAUGGCCGCCUGAGGCGGAGAAACAAGACAGGCGAUAGAAGGUGAAGACAAUCAGUAGUACUGGUGUUUUUAUGUUUUAAAAAAAAACAUACAUUGAGAGUUUAACUGUACAAAGACUGUGAGUUCCUGAGCAUACUGUGUGGAUAUAGAGAGCUUUUCUUGUCUGAGUUUUGACGGUACAUGGUAAAGUUAGACUGAUUCUGCUGCUGAAAAUGGGGCAGUGGCUGAAUCCAUCCCAUUUCCCACCCAGCGAGAACAGCGUCACCCGACCCAAAACCUCCACGUGAUCCGAGACUCGGAGAAACCUCCACGUGAUCAGAGACUCAGAGAAACCUCCACGUGAUCCGAGACUCAGAGAAACCCCCACGUGAUCAGAGACUCAGAGAAACCUCCACGUGAUCAGAGACUCAGAGAAACCUCCACGUGAUCAGAGACUCAGAGAAACCUCCACGUGAUCCGAGACUCAGAGAAACCUCCACGUGAUCAGAGACUCAGAGAAACCUCCACGUGAUCAGAGACUCAGAGAAACCUCCACGUGAUCCGAGACUCAGAGAAACCUCCACGUGAUCAGAGACUCAGAGAAACCUCCACGUGAUCAGAGACUCAGAGAAACCUCCACGUGAUCAGAGACUCAGAGGAAGCACCUCUGACCGUGUGAAAGCCCCACGCUGCAGCAGAUUCUGCCUCCUCUGAGACCGGAGCUCUGCGUGUGGCUGAGAUGAUGUCACGGGCCCUGUCAGCUCCCGUGUCUUUUAUAGGCGGCGCGAAUGCAGAUACCAACUCGACUUCCUGAUGUAGAAAUAUGGUGCACAGAAGAUUUCCUGUGGGCAUAUUUUUCUGAAGACGGGACAGCCCUGAACCAGGAAACGGAGGCACUGCAUGCUCCUGAUUCUCAUGC